rnacentral:pre_miRNA from 1 species
UGUCGCCUGAUGGUGCCAUGAUUCCACAAAGAGUCGCUUGUGAAGUUUUCACAAGCGACUCUUUGUGGAAUCAUGGCACAUUCAGGCGACA